rnacentral:SRP_RNA from 1 species
GGGCAGAGCCUGCGCGAUGGAACCUUUCGAACCAGGUCAGGGUGGGAACACAGCAGCCUUAAGAUCGUGACCAUGCGACGUAGUCAACUUUGCUCGUC